AAUGAACGCUAGCUACAGGCUUAACACAUGCAAGUCGAGGGGCAGCACAGUGUAGCAAUACAUGGGUGGCGACCGGCGCACGGGUGCGUAACGCGUAUCCAACAUUCCCGUUACUCUUGGAUAGCCUUCCGAAAGGGAGAUUAAUACAAGAUGGUAUUCAAAUUCCGCAUGUUAUUUGAAUUAAAGAUUUAUCGGUAAGGGAUGGGGAUGCGUGACAUUAGAUAGUAGGCGGGGUAACGGCCCACCUAGUCUACGAUGUCUAGGGGUUCUGAGAGGAAGGUCCCCCACACUGGAACUGAGACACGGUCCAGACUCCUACGGGAGGCAGCAGUUAGGAAUAUUGGUCAAUGGUCGGAAGACUGAACCAGCCAAGUAGCGUGAAGGAUGAAGGUUCUAUGGAUUGUAAACUUCUUUUAUACGGGAAUAAAACACCUUACGUGUAGGGUCUUGUAUGUACCGUAUGAAUAAGCAUCGGCUAACUCCGUGCCAGCAGCCGCAGUAAGAC
rnacentral:rRNA from 1 species